rnacentral:rRNA from 1 species
AGCGAACGCUGGCGGCAGGCCUAACACAUGCAAGCCGAACGAAGUCUUCGGACUUAGUGGCGGACGGGUGAGUAACACGUGGGAACGUGCCUUUAGGUUCGGAAUAACUCAGGGAAACUUGUGCUAAUACCGAAUGUGCCCUUCGGGGGAAAGAUUUAUCGCCUUUAGAGCGGCCCGCGUCUGAUUAGCUAGUUGGUGAGGUAAAGGCUCACCAAGGCGACGAUCAGUAGCUGGUCUGAGAGGAUGAUCAGCCACAUUGGGACUGAGACACGGCCCAAACUCCUACGGGAGGCAGCAGUGGGGAAUCUUGCGCAAUGGGCGAAAGCCUGACGCAGCCAUGCCGCGUGAAUGAUGAAGGUCUUAGGAUUGCAAAAUUCUUUCACCGGGGACGAUAAUGACGGUACCCGGAGAAGAAGCCCCGGCUAACUUCGUGCCAGCCGCCGCCGUAAUAC